rnacentral:rRNA from 1 species
CCUACGGGUGGCAGCAGUGGGGAAUAUUGCGCAAUGGGCGCAAGCCUGACGCAGCGACGUCGCGUGAGGGAUGACGGUCCUCGGAUCGUAAACCUCCGUCAGCAGGGAAGAACGGUCACUGUGCUAAUCAGCAGUGAAUUGACGGUACCUGCAAAGGAAGCACUGGCUAACUCCGUGCCAGCAGCCGCGGUAAUACGGAGGGUGCGGGCGUUAAUCGGAAUUACUGGGCGUAAGGCGCUCGUAGGCGGGAUGUCAAGUCAAGGGUGAAAUCCCGGGGCUCAACGUGGGAACUGCCUUUGAAACUGGCAAACUUGAGUGUGUGAGAGGAAGGUGGAAUUCCAGGUGUAGGAGUGAAAUCCGUAGAUAUCUGGAGGAACAUCAGUGGCGAAGGCGGCUAUCUGGCACAUAACUGACGCUGAGGAGCGAAAGCGUGGGUAGCAAACAGGAUUAGAUACCCGAGUAGUC